UACGGAGGGUACAAGCGUUAUCCGGAUUCACUGGGUUUAAAGGGUGCGUAGGAGGGCAGGUAAGUCAGUGGUGAAAUCUCCAAGCUUAACUUGGAACUGCCGUUGAUACUAUCUGUCUUGAAUACCGUGGAGGUGAGCGGAAUAUGUCAUGUAGCGGUGAAAUGCUUAGAUAUGACAUAGAACACCAAUUGCGAAGGCAGCUCGCUACACGAAUAUUGACUCUGAGGCACGAAAGCGUGGGGAUCAAACAGG
rnacentral:rRNA from 1 species